GUGACUGAGGACCCAACAGUGUGCUCCUUGCUUGGAGGCUAGUGAUGAGCUCCUAAUUUCACUGUGGACUGCCCAGAUUUCUACAAGACAGGCUUCUGGAGACGCUGUGGAUUCUCUCCUGAGUGACUAGGGGCUGGCAGGAAGGGCGGGCGCUUGGUGCUGCAUCUCAAUCCCUGUGGCCCCAGGAGCAGCUGCGGCAGGAACAUGUAUGGAUUUAUCAACACCUGUCUGCAAUCUCUUGUGAUAGAGAAAUUUGGUGAAGAAACAUGGGAAAAAUUGAAAACUUCUGCAGAAGUACAAGAUGCCUUCAUGACCUACACAAUGUAUGAUGACGUCAUCACCAUUAAGCUCAUCCAAGAGGCCUGCAACAUUCUGGGUGUCUCCAUGGAAGCCAUCCUGAAACUCUUUGGAGAAUACUUUCAAUUCUGAAGAUGUCUGGCUAUGACAGGAUGCUACGGACACUGGGAGGAAAUCUCAUGGAGUUUAUUGAAAACCUGGAUGCCCUCCACAGUUACCUGGCACUCUCUUAUCAGGAGAUGAAUGCACCAUCGUUUCGUGUGGAGAGAGGAGCAGAUGGGAAAAUGUUUCUCCAUUACUACUCGGAUAGAAGUGGUCUGUGCCACAUUGUACCAGGUAUCAUUGAGGCUGUGGCCAAAGACUUCUUUGAUAUUGAUGUAAUCAUGGACAUUCUUGACAUGAAUGAAGAAGUGGAGAGGACAGGGAAGAAGGAGCAUGUUGUGUUUCUGAUUGUACAGAAGGCUCACAGGAAGAUGAGAAAGACAAAGCCAAAAAGGUUACAAGACAGUCAGGGCAUGGAGAGAGACCAAGAGGCCCUCCAGGCAGCUUUCCUCAAGAUGAAGGAGAAAUAUUUGAAUGUCUCUGCUUGUCCUGUGAAAAAAUCCCACUGGGAUGUUGUGAGAAGCAUAGUCAUGUUUGGAAAAGGGCAUCUCAUGAACACCUUUGAGCCAAUUUAUCCUGAGAGACUCUGGAUUGAAGAGAAGACAUUCUGCAACGCUUUUCCUUUCCACAUUGUAUUCGAUGAAUCACUACAGGUGAAGCAAGCCAGAGUGAACAUUCAGAAGUACGUACCAGGACUCCAAACCCAGAAUAUUCAACUGGAUGAGUAUUUCUCCAUCAUUCAUCCUCAAGUUACCUUCAACAUUUUCAGCAUCCGCAGAUUUAUCAACAGUCAAUUUGUCCUGAAGACACGAAGAGAAAUGAUGCCUGUAGCAUGGCAAAGUCGGACUACACUCAAACUUCAAGGCCAGAUGAUCUGGAUGGAGUCCAUGUGGUGCAUGGUGUACCUGUGCUCUCCGAAGCUCCGCAGCCUGCAAGAGCUGGAAGAACUCAAUAUGCAUCUUUCUGACAUCGCCCCCAACGACACCACCAGGGAUCUCAUCCUCCUGAACCAGCAGCGGCUGGCUGAGAUAGAGCUGUCCAACCAGCUGGAAAGGAAGAAGGAGGAGCUACAGGUCCUCUCCAAGCACUUGGCCAUUGAAAAGAAGAAAACAGAGACCUUACUUUAUGCCAUGCUGCCCAAACACGUGGCCAACCAGCUGAGGGAGGGCAAAAAGGUGGCUGCAGGAGAAUUUAAAAGCUGCACGAUUCUUUUCAGCGAUGUAGUGACAUUUACUAACAUCUGUACUGCCUGUGAACCUAUACAAAUAGUGAACGUGCUGAAUUCCAUGUACUCCAAGUUUGACAGAUUAACCAGUGUGCACGCAGUCUAUAAAGUAGAAACAAUAGGAGAUGCUUAUAUGGUGGUAGGAGGUGUACCAGUGCCUAUUGGAAACCAUGCUCAAAGAGUGGCUAAUUUUGCCUUGGGGAUGAGAAUUUCUGCAAAGGAAGUGACGAAUCCUGUUACUGGAGAACCCAUCCAGCUCAGAGUGGGGAUCCAUACUGGACCAGUCUUAGCAGAUGUUGUAGGAGACAAGAUGCCACGGUACUGCUUGUUUGGUGACACUGUGAACACAGCUUCUAGGAUGGAAAGUCAUGGGCUUCCCAACAAAGUGCACCUCAGUCCCACAGCCUACAGAGCCUUGAAAAAUCAAGGGUUUAAAAUCAUUGAGAGGGGUGAAAUUGAAGUGAAAGGUAAAGGGAGAAUGACCACAUACUUUUUGAUCCAGAACUUGAAUGCCACAGAGGAUGAGAUCAUGGGGAGAUCUAAAACCCCAGUUGAUCACAAGGGGUCAACACAGAAAGCAUCCUUGCCCACCACCAAGCUCCAGGGCUCAGUUCAACCAUCUUGCCCUGAACACUCUUCUCUUGCAUCCUGGUUAUUAUGACGUUCUUUGAGCUGGGCCGAUAGAUCCAGCUGAAGAGUUCUACAUACAUUAGUCUUCAAGGUUCUUCUCUGGGCGUUUCCCAUGCAGCUCUCUGGUAGCUGGGGAAUGAUUUGUAAUGAGUACAUGAAACACGUUAAAUGUCCUUCAGCCUCCCUACCACGACAUCCAACAGCUGGAACUUCCAUCCAGUCCUUCACAUGAUGGGCACCUGUGGGAAACCUGCCAGGGGCAGCCGAUGUUCAGAGGCAUCCAAAAAAAGUCUCCCACUUCGGCAGCCAUGAAGCCCACUCAUGCAACCGUCCUCACUUUUCCUUCCUCUCACGGUUUUUUGCAGAAGCAAGUGCUCAGGGAAAUGAAGACAGGAGAACUGCUGCCGUCAUGAGCUAUGCCGACAGUCAGCAGCUGAUCCCCGACAGAAACGCAGCAGAUGCAGACGCUCCUGAUGAAAUCAUCCCUGUGGGGAGUGCAGGGCCAGAUGGGGACUCCAUGGAGACAGCCGACCGGCGACAGCCUUCAGCUCCGACAAAGACACAUCACCUUGCAAAUGACACUUUGCCGUCUGGUUUCUGUGUUUUGUUGUAACAGGUUAAAUGAACCCCUGGGCUUAAUUUUCCCCCUACUUAGUUCUGUGGCAGCAAAGAAAAGUGACUUCUUUUCAUUUCUCAGCUCAAAACUUCUUAAGCCGUGUCUCUUCCUCAUCAUCCCUUUGAGAAUAAAAGUCUAGAAAUGAAACACAA